rnacentral:pre_miRNA from 1 species
UUCUUUGGUGAACUAGCUAUAUGAGUAUUUUAAGAUCAUAAAGCUAUCUUACUAAAGAA